GAGUGAACGCUGGCGGUAGGCCUAACACAUGCAAGUCGAACGGCAGCACAGUAAGAGCUUGCUCUUACGGGUGGCGAGUGGCGGACGGGUGAGGAAUACAUCGGAAUCUACUUUUUCGUGGGGGAUAACGUAGGGAAACUUACGCUAAUACCGCAUACGACCUACGGGUGAAAGCAGGGGAUCUUCGGACCUUGCGCGAUUGAAUGAGCCGAUGUCGGAUUAGCUAGUUGGCGGGGUAAAGGCCCACCAAGGCGACGAUCCGUAGCUGGUCUGCGAGGAUGAUCAGCCACACUGGAACUGAGACACGGUCCAGACUCCUACGGGAGGCAGCAGUGGGGAAUAUUGGACAAUGGGCGCAAGCCUGAUCCAGCCAUACCGCGUGGGUGAAGAAGGCCUUCGGGUUGUAAAGCCCUUUUGUUGGGAAAGAAAAGCAGCAGGUUAAUACCCCGCUGUUCUGACGGUACCCAAAGAAUAAGCACCGGCUAACUUCGUG
rnacentral:rRNA from 1 species